UAUAACGUGUGUUAAAACUUCACAGAUUUUCACUAGAACUGAACCUGCAACCAACAAAAAUGACUUUCACCCCCAUAUUGAUCUGGACGCUGACGGUAUUAUGUCGAGAAUCUAUCGGGCAGGUGACGGUGAGUCAAAGUCCAUCGGAGCUGCUCGCUCAAACUGGACAAUCAGUCACUGUGACCUGUUCAUUUAACACAGAUCCAGCCUGCUGUUGUAAUGGAAAGCAGUGUCUUAGCUGGUACCUUAAGAAACCUGGAGAAGCUCCUAAACUCCUGAUUUAUGGAAUAGACACCCGCUGGUCAGGAACUCCAUCUAGAUUCAGUGGCAGUGGAUCUAACAGUGAUUUCUCUCUGACCAUCAGUGGAGUCCAGACUGAAGAUGCUGGACAUUAUUACUGUCAGAGUUAUCACUAUAUCAGUGGUUAUGUGUUCACACAGUGAUAAAGAGUCGUACAAAAACCUCCUUCAUUCAGAGUCUCAGAGACUGAACUGAAACUAUCUCUCACUCAACAGAGCAGAAACACAGAUAUGAACUUAAUAUCAAUUAUGUUGAGCUUCAACAAUGAUUUUGAAGAUAAUUUGAAAUUAUUUUGAUUUAGUUAUAGUUUUUCAGAUGUUCUCAUGUCCACUUUAUAUUUUUCAAUCAUUGUUAUUUCAUUUUAUACAGCCUGAUAAUUUUUUCUUAAAAUAAAAUACUC